GCGUAGAGCACGGCGAAACGAGUUCGUAAACACGGAGUAGACCCGAAUCGGAGUUGUAACGAAGGAGUUAUGGUCAAAAGAGUCUCAGUGGCAGAACCGUAAAUAUUUCGAAGUUGAAUUAAUAAAAAGAAAAUCUGUCAGCUCUCUCUCUCUCUCUCCCUCCCGAUAGUUUCAGAAACCCAUUCGGGCAGCCCCAUUCCAAGCCACCCCCAACGCCGUCUCAAGCCACCCCGACCCUCCGGAACGGACCCAGCAGCACCGGCCAGCUCCCGCCAUCAACCUCAGCCCGUCCGCCGCCCUUGCUGCUGUCUGGAGCCGCUGGAAAACGCAGCAGUUUUGGCCGAUUUUCCAACUUCAGUUUCUCCCUCAUCCGGCCACCAAAUCAGUCAUGUGAGGCAUCAGGGGCCAAACUGAACCACAGGAGGGACCUUCAAGAGGUCCAGCUAGCUCGGACCAGCAGUGAGUGGACCUUUCUUUUUAUUCAUCAUUUUCUGAAUCAGUUUUAUUCAGUGUGAUUUAUUCCUAUGAAUUUAAAGAUUCCUUCUAUACAUUGCUUAGCUGAUUUUGCUAAAGUUAUUUGGACAACAGACUUUGAGAUUUAUGAUUCAGAAAUAUUUAGCUCAGAUUUUAUCAGAAUACAGAGGAUGUCAGAUUUUAUCCAAGAUAAUUAUUUUAGACCACCAUGAAUUAUAGAAAGCAGAGUUUGAGUUUUCUAUCAGAUAAAAAGGGCAGCACAGUUAUAGAUUGAAUAAAGAUUCAGUUAUUCAUCAGAUCUUUCAGAAAUAUUAUGAUAUUUAUAUUUGAUAUUUUCUCAGCAGUUAAUAUUUUCUUAAACCACUGUGGAUACCCGGUUACAGAAACAGGUUGCCGUCAAAUAAGACGAUGUCUACGGACAUCCAGAUUGCCUUCGGUUUAUGUUGCCUUCGGAUAUGAUGAUGUCUACAGACAUCCAGUUUACUUUCAGUUACGUCAGUGCACUUGACAUUUGCCUCACGAGCUUUGGGGACGCCCGGACCGUGAGUGCCAGGAUUACGAAUCAGGCUGACUACGGUCUCCUGAAUCCUGCCAGGAAUUGCGGAUAAGGCUGACUACGGUUUCCUGAAUCCUGCCAGGAAUUGCGGAUCAGGCUGACUACGGUUUCCUGAAUCCUGCCAGGAAUUGCGGAUCAGGCUGACUACGGUCUCCUGAAUCCUGCCAGUUUGCGGCUCGGAUACACUAUGUGUCGCCGAGACCUGCCAGGGGAAGUGACAGAUUUACAGAGGAUUUGACAGUUUUACAGGGGUACACCUAGGUGGUAGUUUUAAAGAAAUUUCAGUGCUUUUAUGCAAAUAUUGAUUUCAGUGAUUUUACUUGAGUUUCUUAAUAUCGAGCAGUAACGGUAUAUAUAUGUUUACCUAAAUGCUUUGGACUUAUCAUAAUUCAAGUGCAGUUUAAAUAUUCA